rnacentral:lncRNA from 1 species
CCUUUUGUGGUUUGAUUUCUCAAUUGUAAGUUUCAAUUUAUUUACCUUGGUCUCUCUAUAGUGCUAAAAUGAACUUAUCCAAACAUUGGAGUCGUAUUAUGGAGAAGUUCAAAUCUAAGCUUAAUUCGUGGAAAGCAAAUAAUCUUUUUUUGGUGGGAGGCUCACGCUCAUGAAAUCGGUUAUUGGAAGUACACCUUUGUACUAUUAUGCUCUUUUUAAAGCCCAAAGGUUGUUAUUACUUAUUUCGAAUCUAUUAUACUAAGGUUCUUAUGAGGUGGUGAUGAUAGUACCAAUAAGAUUAAUUGGGUUUGAUACCAAGCCUAUAGCAAGGAGAAGUUUGUCGGAUACAUGGUAAGAAAUCUUUAAAGUAAAAAGUUAUUUUGAUGAGAUGGGUAUUAAUUUAGAUAGUUUGUUUGUGAGAAAAACCGGAUUGGGUGAUUGAACUCUCUUUCGGAAAGAUAUGUGUUGUGACUCUCUCUAUCAAGUGGAUGAGAAACCUCUUGAUCAGUAG